GUGAACGCUGGCGGUAGGCCUAACACCUGCAAGUCGAACGGCAGCACAGUAAGAGCUUGCUCUUACGGGUGGCGAGUGGCGGACGGGUGAGGAAUACAUCGGAAUCUACUUUUUCGUGGGGGAUAAUGUAGGGAAACUUACGCUAAUACCGCAUACGACCUACGGGUGAAAGCAGGGGAUCUUCGGACCUUGCGCGAUUGAAUGAGCCGAUGUCGGAUUAGCUAGUUGGCGGGGUAAAGGCCCACCAAGGCGACGAUCCGUAGCUGGUCUGAGAGGAUGAUCAGCCACACUGGAACUGAGACACGGUCCAGACUCCUACGGGAGGCGGCAGUGGGGAAUAUUGGACAAUGGGCGCAAGCCUGAUCCAGCCAUACCGCGUGGGUGAAGAAGGCCUUCGGGUUGUAAAGCCCUUUUGUUGGGAAAGAAAAGCAGCAGGUUAAUACCCCGCUGUUCUGACGGUACCCAAAGAAUAAGCACCGGCUAACUUCGUG
rnacentral:rRNA from 1 species